UAAUUUUUAAUAUUUUUACGGUUAUCACCAUAUAUACAUAUCUGCCUUCAUAGUUUAUUAUCCCAAAGACUCUUCCAGAAGCAUUCAGCCAAAAAAAAAAACACUUUUCCGGAAGCUCCCAUUAUCUUCCAAAACCAGACUCACUUCUCUAUCUUUCAAGGGAAAAAAAUGAGUAGCAGUUCGAGCCGUACCAUCUAUGUUGGUAAUCUCCCAGGUGAUACUCGUUUGAGAGAAGUAGAAGAUCUCUUUUGUAAGUAUGGGCCUAUUGUUGACAUUGAUCUGAAGCUCCCACCAAGACCCCCAGGCUAUGCUUUUAUUGAGUAUGAAGAUUCUCGUGAUGCUGAAGAUGCAAUUUAUUACCGGGAUGGGUACAACUUUGAUGGUUAUCGCUUACGAGUUGAACUUGCACAUGGUGGGCGAGGAAAUUCGUCAUCAGCAGAUUACCAUGGCAGUUAUGGUGGUAGUGGCAGUAGCCGUGCUGCUCCCAAGCAUUCUGACUAUCGUGUUCUGGUCACUGGAUUACCUCCUUCUGCUUCAUGGCAAGACCUAAAGGAUCACAUGCGGCAAGCUGGUGAUGUCCUUUUCUCUCAAGUAUUCCGAGACCGUGGUGGCAUGACAGGAAUUGUGGAUUACGCACACUAUGAUGACAUGAAGUAUGCUAUCAAAAAACUUGAUGAUUCUGAAUUUCGGAAUGCUUUUUCUCGGUCUUACGUACGGGUGAGAGAGUAUGAUUCGAGGCGGAGUUACUCUAGAAGUCGCAGCCGUGAUUCAAGACGGAGCUACUCUAGAAGUCCUUACAUGUCGAGAAGCCCUAGUCGCAGCCGUAGCUAUAGUGGCAGGAGUGGGAGCAUAUCUCCAAAGAGAAAAUAUUCACGUCGAUCUCCAUCAGUCUCUGGUUCAAGAUCUGGAUCUUUGCGGCGACCUGGGGACUGCAUGUUAGGAACUUGAUGUUGAUGGCAUGUGGUACUCAACGCCUGCAACUCUUUUGGUUGCUGAGACUGGAUCAUUGUUGACAAAUUGGUUGCGCUUUAAAAGCUGGAUUACCUGUGAACUGAGUGCUAUUGGUACACUCAACAAUUUUGUGGUGUAGACAAUUCAAAACCUCCUCAACAUUAUUAUAACUUGCGGUCAGGAUUCUGGGGUGGAUAUCGUUCUCCUUCCAACUAGGGUUUCCAUGAUGGUGCUGUAUUUGUUUUUUCUUUCUUUUAUUGGUCCAUUUAAGUUCUCAUGUGCUGCUGGAUAAAGAUGAUUUACUAAGAGGAUUUGAUCAUGAGAAAAUUGGGUUGAGUUCUUUUAAUAUUAGUUGCUGCUAAAGAUUUGUGGUAUAUUCCAUCUCUUCUAUUUCAUCCUUUGAUUAUGGUAAACCUAAAUGGAACCGGGAUUGAGGCUCUGGGAUCAAGGUUUUGCAAAAUUGUUGUUGAUAUUAAAUUGGGUGGUUUGUGAACUUUUGUGCAGAUCUCGAUCAAGAUCCAGAUCUCCAGUUAAUUCUCAUCGUCGUCGUGAAAGUCGCAGUCCCAGCAGGAGCGUUAGAAGUAUAUCACGAUCCCGUUCGGCUUCUGUGAGAUCUGAUCGAAGCCGAUCUAUUGACUCCAGGGAUCGUGAUUGAGCGCAAAUUUUUAGUAGUUCUACUCUCAGCAUGUUCAUGUCGGGGACAUUAGGACACCUAACUAUAUAA